rnacentral:rRNA from 1 species
AUACGGAGGGUGCAAGCGUUAUCCGGAUUCAUUGGGUUUAAAGGGUGCGCAGGCGGAUAUUUAAGUCAGUGGUGAAAUCCCGGGGCUCAACCUCGGAACUGCCAUUGAUACUGAAUAUCUGGAAUACGGUUGAAGUGGGCGGAAUGUAGCAUGUAGCGGUGAAAUGCAUAGAGAGGCUACAGAACACCGAUCGCGAAGGCAGCUCACUAAGCCGAUAUUGACGCUCAGGCACGAAAGCGUGGGGAGCGAACAGGAUUAGAAACCCUAGUAGUCC